CCUUCUCUCGGUGUUGACUGCCCCCUAGUGUCUGUAUUUGUUGCUGCUCUACGACUAUCAGUUGUUUCAAUGUUAAGAAUGAUGUACCUCUAUGUUAAUUUAUUGUUACCCUCCUACCAGUUUGAUUGAGCAUUUUUUGGUGUUUAGCACCGUUAAUUCCUGUUUGUUUUUGUGUGAAUUUUACAGUCAACUUCAACUUGGAGUGAUCAACAAACACCUUGGAGCAAGUACGCGUUGACCCUUACAUGGAGAAAUAUCUUUCCCCUUCACUGAGUGGAAAGGAGCACGAGCCAGUUGAUUUGGAGGAUGUUUUGGGGAUGGCGGGGCUUGAAGAAGACCUCAGGUUGGUUCUUAUCGGAAAUACGGGUGAUUUUUUUUUUGUUUCGUUUUUUUUUUAGGUAUUUCCUAUAUACUGUAUUGUUAAUGUACACGGUGCCUCCUUUUUGUGAUCAACCAUGUAAUGCCAAAUGACAAAUAAAUGCACUUUUAAAGACA